rnacentral:rRNA from 1 species
GGGCGGGACACGUGGUAUCCUGUCUGAAUAUGGGGGGACCAUCCUCCAAGGCUAAAUACUCCUGACUGACCGAUAGUGAACCAGUACCGUGAGGGAAAGGCGAAAAGAACCCCGGCGAGGGGAGUGAAAAAGAACCUGAAACCGUGUACGUACAAGCAGUGGGAGCACGCUUAGGCGUGUGACUGCGUACCUUUUGUAUAAUGGGUCAGCGACUUAUAUUCUGUAGCAAGGUUAACCGAAUAGGGGAGCCGAAGGGAAACCGAGUCUUAACUGGGCGUUAAGUUGCAGGGUAUAGACCCGAAACCCGGUGAUCUAGCCAUGGGCAGGUUGAAGGUUGGGUAACACUAACUGGAGGACCGAACCGACUAAUGUUGAAAAAUUAGCGGAUGACUUGUGGCUGGGGGUGAAAGGCCAAUCAAACCGGGAGAUAGCUGGUUCUCCCCGAAAGCUAUUUAGGUAGCGCCUCGUGAAUUCAUCUCCGGGGGUAGAGCACUGUUUCGGCAAGGGGGUCAUCCCGACUUACCAACCCGAUGCAAACUGCGAAUACCGGAGAAUGUUAUCACGGGAGACACACGGCGGGUGCUAACGUCCGUCGUGAAGAGGGAAACAACCCAGACCGCCAGCUAAGGUCCCAAAGUCAUGGUUAAGUGGGAAACGAUGUGGGAAGGCCCAGACAGCCAGGAUGUUGGCUUAGAAGCAGCCAUCAUUUAAAGAAAGCGUAAUAGCUCACUGGUCGAGUCGGCCUGCGCGGAAGAUGUAACGGGGCUAAACCAUGCACCGAAGCUGCGGCAGCGACGCUUAUGCGUUGUUGGGUAGGGGAGCGUUCUGUAAGCCUGCGAAGGUGUGCUGUGAGGCAUGCUGGAGGUAUCAGAAGUGCGAAUGCUGACAUAAGUAACGAUAAAGCGGGUGAAAAGCCCGCUCGCCGGAAGACCAAGGGUUCCUGUCCAACGUUAAUCGGGGCAGGGUGAGUCGACCCCUAAGGCGAGGCCGAAAGGCGUAGUCGAUGGGAAACAGGUUAAUAUUCCUGUACUUGGUGUUACUGCGAAGGGGGGACGGAGAAGGCUAUGUUGGCCGGGCGACGGUUGUCCCGGUUUAAGCGUGUAGGCUGGUUUUCCAGGCAAAUCCGGAAAAUCAAGGCUGAGGCGUGAUGACGAGGCACUACGGUGCUGAAGCAACAAAUGCCCUGCUUCCAGGAAAAGCCUCUAAGCAUCAGGUAACAUCAAAUCGUACCCCAAACCGACACAGGUGGUCAGGUAGAGAAUACCAAGGCGCUUGAGAGAACUCGGGUGAAGGAACUAGGCAAAAUGGUGCCGUAACUUCGGGAGAAGGCACGCUGAUAUGUAGGUGAAGUCCCUUGCGGAUGGAGCUGAAAUCAGUCGAAGAUACCAGCUGGCUGCAACUGUUUAUUAAAAACACAGCACUGUGCAAACACGAAAGUGGACGUAUACGGUGUGACGCCUGCCCGGUGCCGGAAGGUUAAUUGAUGGGGUCAGCGCAAGCGAAGCUCUUGAUCGAAGCCCCGGUAAACGGCGGCCGUAACUAUAACGGUCCUAAGGUAGCGAAAUUCCUUGUCGGGUAAGUUCCGACCUGCACGAAUGGCGUAAUGAUGGCCAGGCUGUCUCCACCCGAGACUCAGUGAAAUUGAACUCGCUGUGAAGAUGCAGUGUACCCGCGGCAAGACGGAAAGACCCCGUGAACCUUUACUAUAGCUUGACACUGAACAUUGAGCCUUGAUGUGUAGGAUAGGUGGGAGGCUUUGAAGUGUGGACGCCAGUCUGCAUGGAGCCGGCCUUGAAAUACCACCCUUUAAUGUUUGAUGUUCUAACGUGGACCCGUGAUCCGGGUUGCGGACAGUGUCUGGUGGGUAGUUUGACUGGGGCGGUCUCCUCCUAAAGAGUAACGGAGGAGCACGAAGGUUGGCUAAUCCUGGUCGGACAUCAGGAGGUUAGUGCAAUGGCAUAAGCCAGCUUGACUGCGAGCGUGACGGCGCGAGCAGGUGCGAAAGCAGGUCAUAGUGAUCCGGUGGUUCUGAAUGGAAGGGCCAUCGCUCAACGGAUAAAAGGUACUCCGGGGAUAACAGGCUGAUACCGCCCAAGAGUUCAUAUCGACGGCGGUGUUUGGCACCUCGAUGUCGGCUCAUCACAUCCUGGGGCUGAAGUAGGUCCCAAGGGUAUGGCUGUUCGCCAUUUAAAGUGGUACGCGAGCUGGGUUUAGAACGUCGUGAGACAGUUCGGUCCCUAUCUGCCGUGGGCGCUGGAGAACUGAGGGGGGCUGCUCCUAGUACGAGAGGACCGGAGUGGACGCAUCACUGGUGUUCGGGUUGUCAUGCCAAUGGCACUGCCCGGUAGCUAAAUGCGGAAGAGAUAAGUGCUGAAAGCAUCUAAGCACGAAACUUGCCCCGAGAUGAGUUCUCCCUGACCCUUUAAGGGUCCUGAAGGAACGUUGAAGACGACGACGUUGAUAGGCCGGGUGUGUAAGCGCAGCGAUGCGUUGAGCUAACCGGUACUAAUGAACCGUGAGGCUUAACCUUACAACGCCGAAG